rnacentral:sRNA from 1 species
AUUGAAAAGGACUUUGAUGUUGUU